AAAUGAAGUGUUCUGGUUUAAAGUCUUGGUCUGAUGCUGUCAGCUGCAGAAGAAGAAAAACUCCCAUCAGAUCAACUUCAACACAAAAAUGUUCUCUGUAGCUCUGCUGCUGCUGCUGGUUGCUGGAUCCUGUGUGAAGUGUGAACAGCUGACACAGCCAGCCUCUGUGACUGUGCAGCCAGGUCAUCGUCUGACCAUCAGCUGUCAGGUCUCUUAUAAUCUGGGCAGCUACUGGACAGCUUGGAUCAGACAGGCUGCAGGGAAAGGACUGGAGUGGAUUGGUUACACAUGCAAGGGAUGCACCCCAAUCUACAAAGAUUCUUUAAAGAACAAGUUCACUUUUGCAGUGGAUACUUCCAGCAACUCUGUGAGUCUGAAUGGACAGAGUCUGCAGCCUGAAGACUCUGCUGUGUAUUACUGUGCCAGACAAGACCACAGUGACAAAAACAAGCAGCACAGCUGCACAAAAACCCCUCAGAAUACAUGCAACCCAAAAUCACCAGAAGAGGCACUUUUAAAUCAGCUAAUCAAUUAA